AUUGAACGCUGGCGGCAGGCCUAACACAUGCAAGUCGAGCGGAUGAGGGGAGCUUGCUCCUGGAUUCAGCGGCGGACGGGUGAGUAAUGCCUAGGAAUCUGCCUGGUAGUGGGGGAUAACGUCCGGAAACGGGCGCUAAUACCGCAUACGUCCUGAGGGAGAAAGUGGGGGAUCUUCGGACCUCACGCUAUCAGAUGAGCCUAGGUCGGAUUAGCUAGUUGGUGGGGUAAGGGCCUACCAAGGCGACGAUCCGUAACUGGUCUGAGAGGAUGAUCAGUCACACUGGAACUGAGACACGGUCCAGACUCCUACGGGAGGCAGCAGUGGGGAAUAUUGGACAAUGGGCGAAAGCCUGAUCCAGCCAUGCCGCGUGUGUGAAGAAGGUCUUCGGAUUGUAAAGCACUUUAAGUUGGGAGGAAGGGCAGUAAGUUAAUACCUUGCUGUUUUGACGUUACCAACAGAAUAAGCACCGGCUAACUUCGUG
rnacentral:rRNA from 1 species